rnacentral:rRNA from 1 species
GAUGAACGCUGGCGGCGUGCUUAACACAUGCAAGUCGAACGGUGAAGCAGGAGCUUGCUCUUGUGGAUCAGUGGCGAACGGGUGAGUAACACGUGAGCAACCUGCCCCUGACUCUGGGAUAAGCGCUGGAAACGGCGUCUAAUACUGGAUAUGUGAUGUGACCGCAUGGUCUGCAUCUGGACAGAAUCUCGGUUGGGGAUGGGCUCGCGGCCUAUCAGCUUGUUGGUGAGGGAAUGGCUCACCAAGGCGUCGACGGGUAGCCGGCCUGAGAGGGUGACCGGCCACACUGGGACUGAGACACGGCCCAGACUCCUACGGGAGGCAGCAGUGGGGAAUAUUGCACAAUGGGCGGAAGCCUGAUGCAGCAACGCCGCGUGAGGGAUGACGGCCUUCGGGUUGUAAACCUCUUUUAGCAGGGAAGAAGCGGAAGUGACGGUACCUGCAGAAAAAGCACCGGCUAACUGCGUGCCAGCAGCCGCGGUAA